rnacentral:rRNA from 1 species
CUCGUCUUGUGAGAUGUUGGGUUAAGUCCCGUAACGAGCGCCAACCCUUGUCCUUGAGUUCCCCCCGCUAAGGUGGGCACUCUAAGGAGACUGCCGGUGACAAACCGGAGGAAGGUGGGGAUGACGUCAAGUCAUCAUGGCCCUUAUGACCUGGGUACACACGUGCUACAAUGGUCGGUCCAAAGGGUUGCCAACCCGCGAGGUGGAGCUAAUCUAAUAAAACCGUUCGUAGUCCGGAUGGCAGUCUGCAACUCGCCUCCGUGAAGUCGGAAUCGCUAGUAAUCGCGAAUCAGCAUGUCGCGGUGAAUACGUUCCCGGGCCUUGUACACACCGCCCGUCACACCAUGGGAGUGUGGUUGCACCAGAAGUAGCUAGUCUAACCUCGGAGGACGUACCACGGUG